rnacentral:rRNA from 1 species
GAUGAACGCUGGCGGCGUGCCUAAUACAUGCAAGUCGAGCGAACGGACGAGAAGCUUGCUUCUCUGAUGUUAGCGGCGGACGGGUGAGUAACACGUGGAUAACCUACCUAUAAGACUGGGAUAACUUCGGGAAACCGGAGCUAAUACCGGAUAAUAUUUUGAACCGCAUGGUUCAAAAGUGAAAGACGGUCUUGCUGUCACUUAUAGAUGGAUCCGCGCUGCAUUAGCUAGUUGGUAAGGUAACGGCUUACCAAGGCAACGAUGCAUAGCCGACCUGAGAGGGUGAUCGGCCACACUGGAACUGAGACACGGUCCAGACUCCUACGGGAGGCAGCAGUAGGGAAUCUUCCGCAAUGGGCGAAAGCCUGACGGAGCAACGCCGCGUGAGUGAUGAAGGUCUUCGGAUCGUAAAACUCUGUUAUUAGGGAAGAACAUAUGUGUAAGUAACUGUGCACAUCUUGACGGUACCUAAUCAGAAAGCCACGGCUAACUACGUGCCAGCAGCCGCGGUAAUACGUAGGUGGCAAGCGUUAUCCGGAAUUAUUGGGCGUAAAGCGCGCGUAGGCGGUUUUUUAAGUCUGAUGUGAAAGCCCACGGCUCAACCGUGGAGGGUCAUUGGAAACUGGAAAACUUGAGUGCAGAAGAGGAAAGUGGAAUUCCAUGUGUAGCGGUGAAAUGCGCAGAGAUAUGGAGGAACACCAGUGGCGAAGGCGACUUUCUGGUCUGUAACUGACGCUGAUGUGCGAAAGCGUGGGGAUCAAACAGGAUUAGAUACCCUGGUAGUCCACGCCGUAAACGAUGAGUGCUAAGUGUUAGGGGGUUUCCGCCCCUUAGUGCUGCAGCUAACGCAUUAAGCACUCCGUCUGGGGAGUACGACCGCAAGGUUGAAACUCAAAGGAAUUGACGGGGACCCGCACAAGCGGUGGAGCAUGUGGUUUAAUUCGAAGCAACGCGAAGAACCUUACCAAAUCUUGACAUCCUUUGACAACUCUAGAGAUAGAGCUUUCCCCUUCGGGGGACAAAGUGACAGGUGGUGCAUGGUUGUCGUCAGCUCGUGUCGUGAGAUGUUGGGUUAAGUCCCGCAACGAGCGCAACCCUUAAGCUUAGUUGCCAUCAUUAAGUUGGGCACUCUAAGUUGACUGCCGGUGACAAACCGGAGGAAGGUGGGGAUGACGUCAAAUCAUCAUGCCCCUUAUGAUUUGGGCUACACACGUGCUACAAUGGACAAUACAAAGGGCAGCGAAACCGUGAGGUCAAGCAAAUCCCAUAAAGUUGUUCUCAGUUCGGAUUGUAGUCUGCAACUCGACUACAUGAAGCUGGAAUCGCUAGUAAUCGUAGAUCAGCAUGCUACGGUGAAUACGUUCCCGGGUCU